UCCAAUCUAGGUGGGACCCUAUGCCUAAGU
rnacentral:piRNA from 1 species